rnacentral:lncRNA from 1 species
CUGCAUUUUCAGCUUCCUUUUGUUCACAUUGCUACAGAUCUUCAGAGCAUAAAAUCCCAUGAAGGAAUAACGGACAAAGGGAAGAAGGAUUUUGUGACUUGGGGAUAUUUAAUGUUAAAUGGUUUUCCAAAAGAGCUGAACCAGUUUACACAGCUGCUGAAACAGGUGACAUGAGAGCCUUUGGAAAUGAAGACCCAAAGAAAUGAAGAAAUCUGUAUAUUUGUAAGGUAAAUUUGAUGAAGAAUGGACAGUUAUGUAGAAGUAUGAUUGGUCAAAGGGGGUGUGAUGUGAUGGUAAUAAACUGGGGGGACUUA